rnacentral:tRNA from 1 species
UCUUUUAAAGUAAAUAAUUACAUUUAAUUUCGACUUAAAAAUUUGAUUAAUUUUAAUUAAUCUAAAAGAG